AACUAACUAACUAACUAACUAACUAACUAACUAACUAACUAACUAACUAACUAACUAACUAACUAACUAACUAACUAACUAACUAACUCAACCAGCUACAACAGCAAAAUGCUGCUUACAGAUUGGUGCAUCAGGAUUAAUAAUCAAAUAUAGAAUAAUAGGCCAUGUCAAUCACAGGGGACAUUUUACUUUGAUACUUAGGUACAUUUUAUCGAUAAUACUUUUCUAAACUUUUAAAUAUGAUUUUGAAUGCAGGACUUCUACUUGUAGAGUAUUGUUACACUGUUGUAUUGGUACUUUUACUUAAGUAAAGGAUCUGAGUUCUUCUUCCACUGGUUAUGGGUGGGGAUGCUGGUGAUGUGUCUAUUAAUUAUUUUUAGUUUUAAAUAUUUCAGUUGUUUGUUUGUUUUUAGUUUUUAGUUUGGAAGAGAAUGUGUGUGUGUGUGUGUGUGUGUGUGUGUGUGUGUGUGUGUGUGUGACCUCUCAAAGGCGUUCUAGAAUCCAUUCUAGAAUCCAUGACUCAUCAGCAGCACAUAGUUCCCCACAUUCAGGAUCAAAGCACACAUCAGAAACUGCUGAAGACAGUACGCAUCCUAGAAAAUGGAAGAGCCACAAAAAAGUGCCGUAUCUCAAGAAGAUACACCAGAGGAUUGCCUACAGAAGCAAAUCAACUCUGAGGUCACCAUGGACCGAUCUCAAACAUCCCCGGAGUCUGCUGAUCCUUCUGCCUCUGGCUGUGAUUCGAUAACCGAGGCAGAAAGUGAGACCCAGCUCCGGUGGUUUGUGACCCUGCUGACGACGAGAGUGUUGACCAAGUGUCAUGCUCUCCAGAACCGCAGCCAGGAGGAGUGGGUCUCCCACAUCAGACACCUGGUAAACCAGACGAUGGAGGGACUCACUGUCACUGAAGGCUUCUGCCCGGAGGUGAAGAACACCAAGAGAGUCUGCAAGGCUGUGGUGAAGGACCUGCAGAAGAAGUUCUGCGGGAGGCGCCUGCUGGAGUCUGUAAUAGUAUUACAGGAUCCAGUUGUGGACGCAGCCAUCGUCCAGUCUUUGCAGGCUCAAAUCAAAGAAAUUUCUGCUCGGCUCGCAAAGAAAACUGCCUCCCGCAGUUCCUGGAAGGAUGUGCUCCGGUCCAUUGCUUUUGCCGCAGGUUUACUAGCUGUAUUUAUUUUAAUUGCACUCAUCCCAUAAAGCAGCACACCAGCAGCUGCAGGUGGAGGAGGUUUGCAACAUUGCAGUAAUGUCUGCUGUCAGUAGACUAUAGGGCCGCACAGUGGCUCAGUGGUUAACACUGUGGCCCCACAGAAUCAAGGUCAGGGUCACACCGGCGCUGACUCUUGUUGCUGUGUGGAGUUUCUCCCUGUGUCGGUGUGGGUUUACUCCGGGUGCUCCGGUUUCCUCCCACACUCUCAGUUUGGACAAUAAAAAUGUUUAACUGUAUUUCUGAUGUCUGAGGAACUUCUUCUUAAAUUAGAGUCAUAAGACAGACAAUGUGGAUUAGCUGACUUUGACACACACACACACACACACACACACACACACACACUAAAACAGGUUAUAAAUGUUUACAGAGGUUAUAUGGAUCCUAAUCAGACCCAAAUGUAACACGGGAUGGAUGGAUGAGGGAAAAAUCAUACAGAAAUAAAUAUAUAAAGAAAUAUAACUUAUAUUCUACAUUUAUUUCCUGUAUUCCUGCAUUUAGAUUUGGGCCCUGAUACAUCCUUUAACACUUGGGCAAAGAAACACACAUUUUACUAAUCAGUGCAAUUUUUCAUAUUUUAUUUAAUCAAUUAACGGUUGUAUUAUAUUUUCUGUAGAUUCUAUUAUCCAACAUGGAGGUUUAAAUGCUGUUUCAAAGUCUGCCAUGAAUAAACUUCUGGUGAAACUUCUACUUUAUAGGACUGGGUAUUGAACCAAAACACUUUCUGAGUACAAAACAAAAUGUGUCUGUAUCACCAAGUAUUAAAAAGUGUAAAGUACCGAAAGUUAGUAUCGAACGUCUGGCGAGAUUCUUAGUCUUAAACCAGGUGUUUUUCGGAGCAGCAGCUGGAGACUCAGAGGGGAACUGCUUCCUCCAGAUAUCUGAGCCAAACAGAUAUGAUGCAGAAGAAAGGAGCAACUAUAGAGGCUGAAAAAGUGCUCUUUGCUUAUGAGACAACAUUCAUUCAGGCUACUUAUAAGAUCUACAUGUAUUGUGUUUCUCAAAACAGAUACUGGCUACUUGUUUGAUUAUGAUGAGGAAAAUAAAGCCCUGAUACAGAAACAGGAGUGCUGUCCUCCGCAUUCACAAAAACACAAUUUUAUUCAAAAAGAAAAAGUGAAAGAGUAACCCCCCCCUCCCAAAAAAAGCCAGACUACCCUCCCUUCUCCAAAAAUAUUGAUACAUAUGAAAAAAUACUAUAAAAAAUGAGGAACAAAAUCCAUUCUGAUACAUUAUUCAAGAUACUGAUAGCAUGUGUGGUAAUGUUCUGUUUUUCUUUGUAAUUUAAGCAAUUUAACAAGUCAUGUUAAACGUUAAAAGUGUUUUAGUACAGACAUUUCUAAAUGAAAAAAAUCCAACAAUAUCUCACUGGAUAGGACAAACAUAUAUUUUACCUUUUGCUUUGUGAUCUUGACGUACCAAGUUUCUGAUGUUAAAAAAAUAUUUUAUACCUAUCAGAUUUUACAUGAAUCUUGUCAUUAUAUCAACUUCACAAUGUUUAAAAACCAACCAAAAUGGCUUUGAAAGGUUGUUUUCUUUUGAUCACUUAUGUGUUUUGGAUAGAAUGGAAAUUAGUUCCCAUGGUCAUUACCGUUAAAUAGAUGUGAAAUGGCUUUUGUAUUAAAACAGCAAUGCUUGGGACAGAGGGAAAAUAAAUACAGGCCAAACUAUCAGUUUACCAUACUUGCCAGACAUCAGCAACAACAGCAGAACCAAAAAGUUCUGCGCCCAAGAAUCUGUGUAUUAUUGUUCGGAGUUCUGUCAUCGGGGUGAGCUGAGGAGAUUUAUGCAUCUCGUUGCUCAAGAUGUUGUUGUCACAGCAGCUGAAAGGACGCACCUCUCAAGCCAGCAUGUCUGCACGAUCAACCAGGAAAAGCAGGCAGCUCACCUGGAGGACCAGACACAGGUGUCCCAAAAGCCCCAGGCACUUGAGUCCAAACACCUUCUUUAACCUGAAGAAGAAGAAUGAACACACAGAGCACCGGGUCAAGGUCUCGUCUCUUUGCCCAAAUGUUUUUCUUUUACUUCAUUCAUUGUUUAAUGAAUACAGUGAGAGACAAAUAAAUACAGACAGAACAGCGACUAAAAGGGGAGGAAGAGGAGGAAAGAGGACAAGGAAAACCGGAGAGGAGAGGAAGAGAUGGUUCCAGUGUGGAAAGUCAAGGGACGGAGGAGGAGCAGCCGGUUUGGAAGCAGGACUACAGUCGAUCCUUCUGAACGCCUAAAAGUCAUGUAGUGAGUGAAAACUGGAGCCACAAGGCAGAACUUGUUUUAUUCUGUAUUCUUCUUCUUCUUCUGUUGCGAUCUUUGUUAUCCUACAAGCCUGAUUCUACCGAGUAUAAUGGCAACUGCUGCGCUUCAAGAACUAACAACUCAGGAAAAAGUCUCACAUAUGACGUUGUUGCAGGUUGAGGAAAAACAAACAGAAGUGCAGGUCAGUAAGGAGGGAAAAUGCAGGGAAGAAGAGACGAUGCGAGAGGACCCUCACUCACAAUCUGCCAAAGAUAACAGGAACAUACUUAAAUCAUUAAAAAGAAUACAAAAAUUGCCUCGUUGCCUUUGUUUUUUUACUUAGUUUUUACUUGAAAAAAUACUUUAAAAAGUAACAAAUCAACAGAAAACAGUAGUGGUGGAAGUUUGAACUUGACUUGAUAGAGGGCAUAUCCAAAAUAAAACAGACUGAAUUAUGAAGUGUGCACAUUCAUUAAGCACACUGCAA